rnacentral:rRNA from 1 species
CCAGACUCCUACGGGAGGCAGCAGUGGGGAAUAUUGCACAAUGGGGGAAACCCUGAUGCAGCGACGCCGCGUGAGUGAAGAAGUAUUUCGGUAUGUAAAGCUCUAUCAGCAGGGAAGAAAAUGACGGUACCUGAUUAAGAAGCCCCGGCUAACUACGUGCCAGCAGCCGCGGUAAUACGUAGGGGGCAAGCGUUAUCCGGAUUUACUGGGUGUAAAGGGAGCGUAGACGGCAGCACAAGUCUGGAGUGAAAUGCCGGGGCUUAACCCCGGAACUGCUUUGGAAACUGUGCAGCUAGAGUGCAGGAGAGGUAAGUGGAAUUCCUAGUGUAGCGGUGAAAUGCGUAGAUAUUAGGAGGAACACCAGUGGCGAAGGCGGCUUACUGGACAUUAACUGACGCUGAGGCACGAAGGCCAGGGGAGCGAAAGGGAUUAGAUACCCGGGUAA